rnacentral:lncRNA from 1 species
AGCAAGACAUGUUGAAGAUCUUGGAAGUCUCAGAGCAUCUGGUCUUACCAGAAAGUAAAUGGAAGGUGGGCCACAGUGGACUGAAGCAAAGGGUAAAACACGUUUCUCCACUGGGGCUCUCCAGACCACGUAACAGAACAGCGCUGCCAGAGAGCUACUGUCUUGACCACGAGCAGGAAGUGGCUGCGCCCCUCUGGCUCCGGGACCACCUCACCUCUGUUACGAUCUGCACCAGCAAAAUGGAUGCCUCGUGCCUACCCCUCUUCCCACACAGCUCAGAGCCUCAGUCUCUUCAUUUACAAACUGUGAGUAGCAUCUACCUCCAGGUCACAUUUAAUACAUUUCACAGCCUGCGUGGCAUAGGCACUGACCCAUAA